rnacentral:rRNA from 1 species
UACAGAGGUCUCAAGCGUUGUUCGGAUUCAUUGGGCGUAAAGGGUCCGUAGGCGGUUUGGUAAGUCAGUGGUGAAAGCCCAUCGCUUAACGAUGGAACGGCCAUUGAUACUGCCAGACUUGAAUUACUGGGAAGUAACUAGAAUAUGUAGUGUAGCGGUGAAAUGCUUAGAUAUUACAUGGAAUACCAAUUGCGAAGGCAGGUUACUACCAGUGGAUUGACGUGAUGGACGAAAAGCGUGGGGGAG